AGAUAAUAGAUACCCCGGUAGUCCACGCCCUAAACGAUGGAUACUAGGCGUAAGAGGUAUCGACCCCUCUUGUGCCGCAGCUAAACGCAUUAAGUAUCCCGCCUGGGGAGUACGGCCGCAAGGUUGAAACUCAAAUGAAUUGACGGGGACCCGCACAAGCGGUGGAGCAUGUGGAUUAAUUCGAUACUAACCGAAGAACCUUACCCAGGUUUGACAUCGAUCGCAAAGCCUAGAGAUAGGCUCCUCUCCCACAAGGAGACGUGAAGACACUUGUUGCAUGGCUGUCGUCAGCUCGUGCCGUGAGGUGUACGGUUAAGUCCGCCAACGAGCGCAACCCUCGGCCUGUGUUACCAGCAUGAAAGAUGGGGACUCACAGGUGACCGCCGGUGUAAGCCGGAGGAAGGUGGGGAUGAUGUCAAGUCAGCAUGGCAGUUACGCCUGGGGCUUCACACAUGCUACAAUGG
rnacentral:rRNA from 1 species